GCAAACUUGGUCAUUUAGAGGAAGUAAAAGUCGUAACAAGGUUUCCGUAGGUGAACCUGCGGAAGGAUCAUUAAUGAAUAAAUAAACUUGGUGGUGGGUUGUAGCUGGCUCUUCGGAGCAUGUGCACGCUCAUCAUCCACUUAUUCAUCCACCUGUGCACAAUUUGUAGUCUUGAGGGAGAUUAGAGCGACUGUAAAGUCGUGACUUUCUUUCAAGUCUAUGUAUUUUUAUACACUACAUAGAAUGUUGUCAGAAUGUAUUCAAUGGGCCUCUGUGCCUAUAUAAAAUCUAUACAACUUUCAGCAACGGAUCUCUUGGCUCUCGCAUCGAUGAAGAACGCAGC
rnacentral:misc_RNA from 1 species